AGGACGAACGCUGGCGGCGUGCUUAACACAUGCAAGUCGAACGGGCUCGUGGCACUUGUGUUGCGGGUUAGUGGCGAACGGGUGAGUAACACGUGAGUAACCUGCCCCAGACUCUGGGAUAACUCCGGGAAACCGGUGCUAAUACUGGAUAUGACAUCAAGCCGCAUGGUUAUGGUGUGGAAAGUUUUUCGGUCUGGGAUGGGCUCGCGGCCUAUCAGCUUGUUGGUGAGGUAGUGGCUCACCAAGGCGACGACGGGUAGCCGGCCUGAGAGGGCGAUCGGCCACACUGGGACUGAGACACGGCCCAGACUCCUACGGGAGGCAGCAGUGGGGAAUAUUGCACAAUGGGCGCAAGCCUGAUGCAGCGACGCCGCGUGAGGGAUGAAGGCCUUCGGGUUGUAAACCUCUUUCAGCAGGGGAGAAGCCUUCGGGUGACGGUACCUGCAGAAGAAGCACCGGCUAACUACGUGCCAGCAGCCGCGGUAA
rnacentral:rRNA from 1 species